UAAUCGAAUGACACCAAGCCAAACACUCGCAAAUACACAUAUGGCCACUAGAUUUCGCUGCAGAUUGUGAUGUGUGUUCUGAUCGAAGGCAAUUUACCUUUUUCCUAAGAAACCUUCUCUUAGUCAUUGAUUGUAAACACCAUGUUUAGUUGCAAAAUUUGGCCCAGACUCUGGAUUAUCUGUUUGUGGUGGUUUUAUGCGAUCAGAAUCAACUUUGUGGACAAAAAUCACAAAGGUAAAACUUCAUUUUUGGUUGUUAAAAGAAAAGAGGAUGUUUCUUCUUAAAUUGUUAUUUGUGAGUUUUAGUCACAGAAUGAUAUGGUUUGGACUGUCGGAAUAAGUGGAGGAUCAGCUUUCAUAUAAUAUAUAGUUUGUGAAGAUCCAAUUUCGUGAAAAAGAUCGCUAUUGCAUGUGCACAGUUAUGAUUUUGCGGAACAAAAGCUUUCAUCCAAAGCAACUUACAUCGUUUAAUAGUGUCAACCGGUUCCCUUGUAUUUAUUGAUGAUGUGACAGCUGAAAAAAGCAGCAGGAUGAAUUCUGAAGUGUUUCAGGCAAUAUUAUCUGCUCAUAUUCAGCCAAAUGCUUCAGAACUCAUUGGACGGCACUUCAGUGCAGAUGGACAAUGACCCGAAGCAUACUGCGAAAGCAACCAAAGAGGGUUUUUUUUGAGCAUGCAUUUCACUUGCUGAAGACAAACCUGAAGGGAAAAUUCCCCAACAGAACAAGCAGGAACUGAAGACAGUUACAGUAGAGGCCUGGUAGAGCAUCACCAGGGAUGAAACCCAGCGUCUGGUGAUGUCUAUGCCAGGGAUAAAAUUAACGACGUCCGUCGUCCCGGGGACGUAAUUAAUUGUCAUCGGGAGGAUUUUUAUUCUCUCUCGGGUCGACCUCAGAACGAAGAGAAUUUUGCGUGCACUGACUUCAUUUUUUUCUGUUUAAGUUUUCAACACUUUCUGCAAACCAGAACGUGUCGCGAUCGGUGGAAAAUAAUUAUUUAAUGGAAAGGGCUUCGUUCAAUUGGCUGGCGCGCUCGCGUUUGUGUUGUUCAGUGAGGCAGAGGGGGUAAAAUCGUUUGUCAUGGCGCAGGCUUUCUUGGUUCACUGGAGAAGGUGGGGCUGCGCACAGAGUCUAGACCUCUAAUUUUCAAAGUGGACCGACCCACCGGGAGACUUCCCGAUCUCCAGCCUAUGCUGCAGAGCGAAUUUAAAUCGCCGGCAGAACGGCCUGGGGGUCUAACACCGUCAUUUAUAUAAAUUUCAUAUGUAUAUAUAUAUAGUAUUUCACAUUAAUCGCAAUUAUUACACGGGUCUUCUCAAUGCCACGAAACGCUCUGUUCACUUGCAUGGGCCCUUCACAACUUCCGGUGGUGAAUUAUAUCUGAUAAUUCACCGUUGCUAAGUAUAAUCAUGAGUAUAAUUGACCACUGUCAAAACUGGAAAACAACAGAUUUUUCGCCUGUAAUGAUGUCUUCGGUAUCACUCCGCAAGUACCGGUAACUUGUCAACCCAAGCGUCUUCGGUUGCUAAGCGACGGCAACGUCUUUGGCGGACUAUUUCUCUGCUGAUCAACGCUACGAAUUCUGGUAUCAAAUAAAUUGUAAAAAGACACACCAUGUGAAGUUAUUUUUUCGUUUUGGCAAGUAGCCGUCUAAUAAGCGGGAUAAUGUAGAGAACAUCGCCGGUCAUGAUCGAAAAUAAGCCCCUUCAGGGCAAAGCAAGUUUGCCCUGUUGGGGCUUAUUUUCCCGAUAAUUACCGGCGUUCUAUACAUUAUCCCUUACGAUAUCCCGCUGCUUCGGGUUUGCCUUUGUAGCCGCAUUGAGAGGAGGAGCGGGCGAAUCCGCUGUCAGUGCGUGUGCAUGUAUGAUACGCAGGUUUAUCCAAUAAGUGGUAGAGUAACCACGCACCAUUGGCAUGUAUGCGCGCUUGUCUCUGUGUGCGCGCUUGUCUCUGUGUGCGUGUGUGAACGAGAAUGACGGGGAGAAAGAUGGGCUACGCGGAGAUGACUGAACGGAACGAUAUUUAUGUUUCAAAAUCAAAAAAAAAAGAAAAGUAAAAAGCAGAAUCAAUUUGUGGCGCUCUGUGUUGAAUCUGUGGCGCUGCGCCACACAUUGUUCUAUGUAUCUAUUCUCUUUUGAGACAGCGCAACUCUCUACCCAAGCCCCCCCUGGAACCACGGAGCCGUCGCAUUUACAUCAGAAUGAAACC